CAUAAAAUCACACAAAUAUUAUGAAAGUUUGGGCUUUAAAUCAAAUCUUCAUCUGUAGAUGAUAGCUUUUGACUGUUUUGUUGGUAAUCUUUCAAUGGAUGAUUGGAAAUUGCUUAAUUUAUUUAACCUUAACUUUUACACUUUACUGUUUAUCGAUGACGUCACGUUAUCAAGGAGCGCGAAAAUUGGCAGAAAACUAAAGUUGUUUUGAUCUUUUAUGGUAAACAUAAAACUGUUCUGCGAUUUCAAGAGUGACAAAAUAAUCCUUCUACAACAGAAGGGAGUGUCCAAGAUUUCAAUAUUUCUGAAGGGAGCUGCUGACAGAGAUCUAGGAAGCGCUGAAAAGAUUCUUCAGUGCUGAUGGCCUGCUGCAUCCAGCAGAGUCGGAGUGAACCUACUGUAAGACAACAUCUCCAAGAUGCUAUUGACCACAAGACUAGUACAGGUUAUUAGAAACUGCACAGCACAGGACUUGCAGGACUUGUGAGGACUUCAGAUGAUACCAGUACUCAAAAGACCUUAGAUGAUGGCAACUAUAGAUGGACAUACAAACUACCGCCACUGCAAAAAAGAUUCUAAUUUGAAAGUUUAUAAUGCAUGUUCGCUACUCCCAAUUCAGAAGACUGAAUCAGCCUGUGUAUCUGAAUGUUUCUCAUACUCACUCCUCUCUGCUGCGUCUGAAUUUGGGAUUUUCCUUAGCUGUCAGUUAAAAACGUAAAAAUUAAAAGAAAUCAACAUUUGAAAUAUAUCAGUCUGUGUGUAAUGAAUAAAUAUAAUAUACAAGUUUCACUUUUUGAAUGGAAUUAGUGAAAUAAAUCAACUUUUUGAUGAUAUUCUAAUUAUAUGACCAGCACCUGUAUAUCAUUGCUCUUUUGUUAAUUUCGAUUGCUUCCAUUGUCCUCAUUUA